UACGUAGGUGGCAAGCGUUGUCCGGAAUUAUUGGGCGUAAAGCGCGCGCAGGCGGCCUUUUAAGUCUGAUGUGAAAGCCCACGGCUCAACCGUGGAAGGUCAUUGGAAACUGAAAGGCUUGAGUACAGAAGAGGAAAGCGGAAUUCCACGUGUAGCGGUGGAAUGCGCAGAUAUCAGGAGGAACACCAAUAGCGAAGGCAGCUCGCUGGGACGGUGCUGACGCUAAGGCGCGAAAGCGUGGGGAGCGAACAGG
rnacentral:rRNA from 1 species